CAAGAUCCAUAACUUCUUGGAUUCUAUAAUUAAAAGAAAUGACAAAUCAAGCAAUAGUCUACACAGAACAAGCAAACCAAAUUUUUAAGGCCAUACAAUGAUUCCAAACAGCAGCAAAACAACAAGACCAGUGGGCUGGCGACGACGGUGGCAAGGGGACAAAGGCAGACCGAAUCAAGGAGGCAAAGGAAAUGUAUGGAGUGUGCCAAGAGACAGAGGAAAUUAGAUUAUUUUUGCCCAUUCAACAAUGGCCAUUUUGGACUUUUAUACACAUUGAGGUGAAGAAAUAUUAUACACCUAUACAACCAAACUUUAAUGUAUAUUUAUCCGAUCAAUACAACAACAGACAAUUCUUAGAUGUAUGUAUGUCAAAAUAAUUUUUCUUUUCAAUAUCUCAUUUUUUCCGCCUUUUUUAUUUCCCUUUUCUUUUUCUUUUACAUAUGUAAUAGUUUCCUCUUUAAGGACCUUUUUCUAAUUUCAAAAAAGAGAAUUUUUUCAGUAUUCAAUAUUGUCAAUCAUGUUUUAAAAUGGUACCAUCAAAAUUAUAAUUCAACUUAGAAAACGUUGGUAGCAAGAAAAUAGGCCCAAAUAGGACAGACCAGGGAAAUUUUCAAAACAAAGUUUAAGGUUAGAAAGAAUUUCUAAAUUGUCCUUAAUCAUUUCCGAGCAAGAAUCUAAAAUAUAAAUUCGCCUUGAAAGGAAUAUAACGUAAGUUCCAGGAGAUGUAGAUUAGAAAAACAAUCAUACAUGAAAAAAAGGGAAAUAUAAGCGAAACCAACUAAUAGGUCCAAAUCUAUAGGGUUGUUUUACAUACCAAACUUUUUCAGAAAUUUCUUGCAAUAUAUAGAUCCGUUAAUAAAGCUUUUUUUCUUCCAAUUUCUUAGUUUGUACCCCAAAAAGAAGAAUAUAAAUUAUUUUAUUAUUUACAUUUCAAACUCAUUUAGCUCUAAAAUAAUAUCAUCAAUAUUUAUUUAAACAAGAAAAAAUAAUAUUAAACCCUUCUUAAUUUAUUUAUUUUUCAUUUUAAAUAGAUUAAUAAUUAUCGUGUUAUUUUAAUGGAUUCUCAGACUUUAUUACUAUUACUGUUAUUGUUAUAAUUAUUAUUAUUAUUUAACUGAGUGCUGUUUGAGAAAAAAUCUUAAUAAUUACAAUAAAAUUAUUGUUCUGUGUGUCUAUUUUAGAAAAAUAAAGUUUAAGGAUCAAUUGAAAUAAAAUUAAAGUUUAAGGUGUAUAUUUAUAAAAUAUAAAAUGAGUAAAGUUUAAGGGUUAGAUGCUCUUUUCCUUUUUAAACCAUUAACAAGAGCUUUACCUUUUUUAUGAGAAGAAUAUUAUAAAAUUAAUCCAUUUCAAAACCCUUUUAAAUAAAAACUGACUCAACCUACCAAACAAAGUUCAAAGAGUUUGCUCUUGACAAUAGAAUGUCUUUUUUUUAGUUUCAUGAAAUGGUCAGAAAUUCAAAAUUUUCAAAAUCAUUUCUUGAAUGAAUAUAUUUAAAGCCAUUUGUCUCAUCCAAUUGAUACAUAUCUUGGGAGGAGAUUAUUUUAUAAGAAUAAGAACAGGAAUCAUAAAAUCAUCCACAAAUAAUCAAAAUUUUGAAGUUACAGUGUAAAACAUAAAAAAAAAAAAACAUAAGAUGAGGUGUUAUUGUGUUUAAGAUAAUUUUUGAAAAUCUUCUUGAAAGAUUAUAUAUUGUGUUGAAUUGAUUGUGAUAUCCAAGGAGGAGAUGAAUUGAAUCACAAAAAUCAAAUUAAGAAAAAGAUUUGAAGGGCAACAGAGACUGAAAAAAAAAUAUGAAAUGAUCACAAUGAAAGUAUGCAUAUAUUCUAGAAAGACUUUCAAUCUAACGAUUUCAAGGUUUGAAUCCUGGAAUCAUGUAUUCAAGUAAGACUUUACUUAACAACAAUGUGUUUACCUAAGGAUUAAUUUUGGAGUUUUGGCUAUGAGCCAUUUGAUUCCAAAUCUAUAAAUUAGGCUUUAGAAUACUAGGAUUGUGAGCUUAAAGAAAACGGAAGGGAAAAGUUUCUACAUGCAACAAAUACUUGAAAGGCGUAAUCAACAUUUAGGUAUUGGGUAUAACUACGUUUACCUUCCAAUAUUCGUUGAAUGAUGAAUUAAUAGGGCUUUUUAUCAUGGAAUCAAAGAGCUCUGUUUCUGAGAUAUAAUUGAUCAAUAAACAGAGGCCAGAUCGAAGUAUGACUAAGGAAAGAGACCUUCCUUCACAAUCCAAGGAAUAUAAUUACAAAUCUUUUAGGAGAAUAGAAGAUAAAGCAAGAAGAAGUAACCUUCGGUGUGAAGGCGGAGAUGCUUCAGAUGUUGGUGCUAAGAGCGACGGCGGUUCUAAGAGCUACGGUGCGACGGUUGCGCUGGUCCUCAGCCUUACGACGGUGGGCCUGAUGCUAGGGAGCGAUGGCAGUUUGACGUGUGAUGGGUUAAGAGCCUAAGAAGGUGAAACGGAGCGAGAGAAAG
rnacentral:lncRNA from 1 species